rnacentral:rRNA from 1 species
UACGUAGGGUGCGAGCGUUAAUCGGAAUUACUGGGCGUAAAGCGUGCGCAGGCGGUUUUGUAAGACAGGCGUGAAAUCCCCGGGCUCAACCUGGGAACUGCAUUUGUGACUGCAUGGCUGGAGUGCGGCAGAGGGGGAUGGAAUUCCGCGUGUAGCAGUGAAAUGCGUAGAUAUGCGGAGGAACACCGAUGGCGAAGGCAAUCCCCUGGGCCUGCACUGACGCUCAUGCACGAAAGCGUGGGGAGCAAACAGG